CCUUCGGGUGGCAGCAGUGGGGAAUUUUGGACAAUGGGGGCAACCCUGAUCCAGCCAUUCCGCGUGAGUGAAGAAGGCCUUCGGGUUGUAAAGCUCUUUUGUCCGGAGCGAAACGGGCGGCCCUAAUACGGUCGUCUACUGACGGUACCGGAAGAAUAAGCACCGGCUAACUACGUGCCAGCAGCCGCGGUAAUACGUAGGGUACGAGCGUUGAUCGGAAUUACUGGAGGUAACUCGUGAGCAGGCGGUUGAAAUCCCCGGGCUCAACCUGGGAAUGGCAUUUGGGACUGCAAGGCUGGAGUGUGGCAGAGGGGACUAGAAUUCCUGGUGUAGCAGUGAAAUGCGUAGAUAUCAGGAGGAAUACCGAUGGCGAAGGCAGGUCCCUGGGUUAACACUGACGCUCAUGCACGAAAGCGUGGGGAGCAAACAGGAUUAGAUACCCCGGUAGUC
rnacentral:rRNA from 1 species